UAGGGAAUCUUCGGCAAUGGACGGAAGUCUGACCGAGCAACGCCGCGUGAGUGAAGAAGGUUUUCGGAUCGUAAAGCUCUGUUGUUAGAGAAGAACGUUGGUAGGAGUGGAAAAUCUACCAAGUGACGGUAACUAACCAGAAAGGGACGGCUAACUACGUGCCAGCAGCCGCGGUAAUACGUAGGUCCCGAGCGUUGUCCGGAUUUAUUGGGCGUAAAGCGAGCGCAGGCGGUUCUUUAAGUCUGAAGUUAAAGGCAGUGGCUUAACCAUUGGCCGCUUUGGAAACUGGAGGACUUGAGUGCAGAAGGGGAGGGUGGAAUUCCAUGUGUGGCGGUGAAAUGCGUAGAUAUAUGGAGGAACACCGGUGGCGAAAGCGGCUCUCUGGUCUGUAACUGACGCUGGGGCUCGAAAGCGUGGGGAGCAAACAGG
rnacentral:rRNA from 1 species